rnacentral:rRNA from 1 species
UACAGAGGGUGCAAGCGUUAAUCGGAAUUACUGGGCGUAAAGCGUGCGCAGACGGUCAUGUAAGUCGGGUGUGAAAGCCCCGGGCUCAACCUGGGAAUUGCAUUCGAGACUGCGUGGCUAGGGUGCGGAAGAGGGAAGCGGAAUUUCCGGUGUAGCGGUGAAAUGCGUAGAUAUCGGGAGGAACACCUGUGGCGAAAGCGGCUCACUGGACCACAACUGACGCUGAGGCGCGAAAGCUAGGGGAGCAAACAGG